UGAGGUUUUAUAAUUAGGGAAUAGAGUCAGAAGGUGUUUGCAAGUUUCCUUCUGCCUUACUGAUGACUGGUGAGAACAGUGGGGGACAGAAAUGUUGUCUGGCUUGAUUUUCCCAAAGGUCAUGUGAAAAUAUCUGUAAUUUUUAACUGAUUUAAUUUUUGAGUAAACUGGAUGAAGCUGAAUGUGAGUUUGUGUUUGGAAGAGGAGAUGAAGUGGUGAAGCAAGAGAACCAAUAGUUUUCUCUACUGGGAGGAGGCAAGAGCCUCUUUCCUGCUACAAAGCUCAUGUUUGAGGAGAACAGAGGACACAAGUAGUUUUUACUUGAAAAUGUGCUUGAAUGUUUUCACUGUAUAGCUUUGAUCUGAAAUAACUGGGACAGAGGAAAGUUUUUAGCAGUUCCUUUCUUACACGGUAAAUGGCAUUUCUUUACAGAUAUUACAUUCAUAGAUAUAUUAAGAAACCACUUU